ACGGACUAUAGCUUGUUGCGCAAACGAGGCUGCAUUUACAUCCAGACGGCAGCCAUAUUGUAUAGAAAAACAAAAAGGAAAUAGGGCGUCAUACUGUCAUAAAUGCCCGAAUUACGUCCAGGUUUGAUUAUUGUACUACAGGAGGUGGAUUGAAGGCAGUGAAAUAUUCUGUGAUUGCUGUGUGAAGUUACCCAUAUAAACAUUUUUAAAGGGGAAAGUAAGACUUAACACAAGCAGUGUGAUUGUUGUAGCGCAGAGAAGAGCAGUUGGAACGACCAAUAGAAAAGUUUAUACAACACAGAGGCUGCCACCUGCCUUGUGUUGUAUUGUGUAGUGAACACGCCUGAUACUCACUUGCACGUGACUACCAAACCCAACCAGCAUGCCACUCCAAAAAUCUGAAGCGGUGAGCAAGAAAAAGAAUGAAAGGGAUGCAUUGUCGCGACAUUUGAAGAUGAACCGCAUACCUGCAUCGCAGGCCAUCCGCGAGCUUACGCAAUUCUGUCGCCAGCAUCAGGCUGACGAUCCCCUAAUUUACCCACUCCGGGAAAACCCAUUCAAGGAAAAGCGGAGCUGUCAGAUCCUAUAGAUAGUUGUUUCGUUGACAUUGUGAUAGUGUUGACUGUUGACUUACGUCUUCCUUUUGUUUGCCUUGUUGACACGGUCUUGUUGUGUAGUGCUAUUAUGAAACAAACAAAACUUGUUAUAUGAUUCUCCUUCUGACCAACUACUUUUAUUUCCUCUGUUUAGAGCGAAGACUUGUAAAAAUACUUAUAGAAGUAUUCAUAAAGCUGUCAAAAUGAACUUUAGUUUUCGUUAUAUAUUUCAUUUGUUCAAAAGGCUAAUAUAUAAAAGAUGAUUAAAAAAAGAUAAACAAAAAUGGUCCAAGUUAUCUGGAAUCCUGACAAGAAUAAAAUGCAUAUAAGUUAACUCUUAUGACAUUUCUACUUUAAGGCCAUUUUCGUAAUAUAUUAACAAAUAAAUUCUUGUUUCAUUUUCAGACUUUGCAUUUCGAAUGCGAUUGUAAGAAAAAAGUGUUGAUGUUGAUAUUUAUAUUGACAUUUGUCUUGCAAAGUCUAAAGGUAACAAGAAUUUUGUUGCUUAUAUUAUGCAAAUGGCCUGAAGACCGAAACGUCAAUAAAGAGUUUACUAAAUGAUUUGUACAGAUAUAUUCUCUGAGGAGUAAUUACAGUGAUAGAAUAAAAUGACUAACAGUUAUGAUCGAGGCUUAAAAGUACAGAGGAGAAUCUAAAAAUAGUUUUCUUUGACCUGUCUGUUGUCAUCGUAAUGUACAUUUGUUCACAAUACACUAAUAACUAUUUAUUUAUAUUGUGCGAGAAUCACAGCUGGAUAAAUGUAGCAAUGUAUUUCUACUCUUGCAAUUCAUUAUAAAUAUCGGUGUACUAAUACGGUUAUUUACAUGAAUCAUACACGAUUCCUAUUGUGUUUGAACAGUAAACAUGUUUUUAGGGUUUGUUGCAUAAUUAUCACUGAAUUGAUCUGAGUUCAAAUAUGUAUCUUUUGAAUGAGAAAACAUUACCGGUACUAUGACCAUGAACACUUUUGUAAUGAUUUAGUACUCAUAUUCAUUAAUAUGGUUUAAUUUUUUAAAAUUUAAAUGCAGUGUUCUCAAUAAGAACCGGCUGCCAGCCAAAAUAGAUGGUUCAAAUGGCAAUUGGGCCGGUUAAAAUUUUGAAAACUAAAUUAAUUUUAAAUAGAAUAAGUAGAAGCAGGUCGGUUACUUUACUCUUUGAGACGGUUCAACUGAAACUUAUUGAGAACCCUGUAAAUGUCUAUAAUAUUUAAAACACAAACUAAUGGUAAGGCCACAAUUAAAGGGGCCAUUAUAGGGUGAUGCAGCAAUCUUUUAUUACAAAUACAUGUAUGUUUCUCUUUUAACUUGAAUGAUCAAAAGGAACAAAAAGUGCAUGAUUUGUGUGCGCAUAAAACUAGAAGCGAUAUUUUGGUGCUUUUUUAAAGGGGGAAUUUGUGGCCAGUAUUUAUUAAUUCAAAACACUCAUUUAUGAAGGAUAAUACUUUUUUUGCAUCACCCCAUAUUGACUGGCCCCUUUAAUAGAUUGGUUGUUCCUCGAUUCCCUAUCUACAUUUUAAGGUGUUAGUAGGUAGUUAGGUUUUUUGGCCGUCUUUAUUUUCCUAACCACUUUUUGGUAAUGAAAUAUAAAAGCAUUUUUUUCCACUGGAGGGGCUUAAAACCUUUUUGCAAGUCGAUAAGGAAACACCAAAGAGAUGAAAUUCAGUCUUAAGUAUAUACAAUCUUUGCUGUAAUAUCAGAUUAAAUGAAAAUGAUCAUGUGACCUGAAGAGCACUUUAAAAGGCACUUCAACUUGUAAUUUUGAAAUGAGACCUCUUGGGUGACAUUGUAGGAUAUUUCCUCCACUUUAUGAACCAAUAAACCACAUGGGUUUUGAGGUAUUAGUUUCAAACGAUCUAUUUACCCAUUGUGUCUUGGUUUACCAUGUAGACAGAUGUAACUCAUUAAUAAUGUAUCUCUGAUCAAUAUUUCAGCAACAGAUUACUUUGGUAAUUCAUCUUUGAAGUAACAAAACAUAUCAAACGCUGGGUUUCCAGUCUCCUGACUUACCCAAUUUUUUGUGCCCGACCCUUAUUUAUAGUCAUUGCCAGUAGAUGAUUUAAAUAUUAAAUAUGACCAUCUUCCCCCCCCCCCCCCCCCGUUUUUUUUUACCUUUUGAUAUACAUAAUCAUAAUUAAAUGCACAGGGAUGAUGCAUUAAACUUAAUAUACCAUGACAAAAUGAUAACUGUUAUCAGUAUGGAAAUGAUUUCAAGAUGCUACUUACAUUAGUAUCUCUCUACCUACCUAACCUACAUUUCUACCCUACUGGAUCUAUACUUUUUGCAAUCCAAUAAAAACAUAAUUGGCAUAAUUUUUGCGGAUUUGAAUACUUAUCAUCACCCUAUAGAAAUACUGUAAGAAUGUGUUAAAGCAGAGACCAUUUUCAUGGUGAAAUGUAAUGACUACCCUGGUAUUGUUAGUAAGUUAGUAACUAAUAUUGGUCUGUCAUAAAAUAGCAGGUACAUUGUAAACCAUAGAGGCAAAUGCAAUUUAUAAAUGGCAGAAAUAUAAAGCAGGAGGAAUUUGUUUUGAAUGAUUCAAUUGCUGCAUGUAUGUCUUGAAUGGAUGCAGGAGGAUAGGUUUGAAGUCUGACCCACAUGGGACGAAAGUCUGACCCACAUGGGACUGAAGUCUGACCCACAUGGGACUGAAGUCUGACCCACAUGGGACUGAAGCAAACUAUUUUCUUUAUGUUUCCCUUGCCUAUAUAUUUAUUUGUAUUUAGUACAUAUAGGCUUGGAAAACAUCUGUUCCCCGGUUAAACAUUUUAAAGGGACUCCCUCAUGUUUUUUUUGUAAAAUGCACUUUUUUGUAUGACGAAAUUGUGUUGCAAAUCAUUAGGAGUGUGGGAACUAAGAUACUUAAUACUUUGCAAUCCUUCAACAAAUAUUGAUACAUGCUCAAUUUUUUUAAUAGGGUUAGUAAUGAGGUUCAACAAAAGGCUUAAGGGUUAGGUUAUCCUUACAGUUGCGUAUGAGUCCUUGUGGGCGUGAGGUUUUGUUGUCAGUUUUCAUAUUUUUCUUGACAGUACCAGCAUAGGUUUGCACCCCACUAAAACCAAAAAAUUUAUUGUAUACCAAUUGUGUUUAUUCAGAAAUUUCGAUGACAGAGUAAACUAGUUGUAACAUGAGUGUUUCAAGAUUCAUUACCAAGGAAAGAGUUUUUGAUGACAACACAUUAGCGAGUCCCUUUAAAUUGAUAUGAACAUCUCCUGUGUUUGUGCAGUAUUUUACUCUGGUGCUGUUAUAGAUAGAUACAUAAACAAUUGUAAAAUAGUGCUUUGGCAUAAAAUUAUGUUCAAUUAGAAAUCAUAUUCUAUAAUAUGUUACUUAUCUUCUGUUUCACUUUAUUAUAAAUGUUUUAAAAUAUACUAGUUUUGUUGUCUGAAGGGUAUGAGAUGAGAAUAACGCCACAGAAUUUGUAUAGAAGUGUAUAAAUAUUGCUUUUGUAACUUGCUACAGAACUACAAUUAAAAUGAAACUUUAAAUAAGUUGUCUUGUUACUGUUAACAUUUAUGAAUGAAAGAUAAAAAUAGCUUCAACUUUAAUGAGUUCUUACAUGAAUGGCUAGAGAUCAUAUGAUACAGUUCCAAUCAAAUACAAUGGGUUAUUCAUCUUUAAAGGGGCACACAUUAGGUUGAUGAAAAUAUAUAUAUAUUUUUAAUGCAUUAUUUAUAUGUUAAUCUGAAUUUUCUUGAACGAUAAAAAAACAUGUACAGUUAAAAAUUAUAAGCCUUAAAAUAUGUUUAUUUGUAUUUAUAGCUAGGUGGCCACAAUAUCACCAGUAAAAAAUCACCAAAAACGCUAAUAAUUUUAAUCUUUACACAGAUAAUGUUGUUUUUGGGGUUUUGAAUAUUAGCAAAAGUCAGAUGAGUUAAACAUGAUAAUGCAUUUAAAAUAUUAUAUUUUGCAUCAACUUAUACUGUGCGUCUUUAAUCAAGCACCGACACUCGAGUGCCUAAGUUGCCCACCCUUCCGUUCAUUCAGUCAUUGACUGUUUCCAUAAAAACUAUUGAGCGUAUGGCUGGGAAAUCAAUAGCACAAUGCCUAAACAAACAUACUCUAACUGUUAAACACGCGACAUGAGAAACGGGUGACCACUGUUCUUGCCCGGAAAGUGCGACAGAUCUCUAAGCUGGAGACAUUAGUUUCUGAUUAUUGGAAUUAAUUAGACGGAAGUGAAUUUUUUUUACCUCGGGUGUCUAGUUCAAUAAGGCAUGACAUAACAUACAUUAUAUUAUAUUAACUACGUGAAAUUGGAAAUAGACAUCAAACAUUAACAGGAUCUACCGUACGCGCUGAUGCAUAGUCCAAACUAUUUUUGGUUUUAAUAUUUGCGUCACGCCAGUCACUCAUCAAAGGCUUAUAAAUAUUGAAGCUCGUUACGAGUUUUUUUUUGUUUUAAUAUGAACUCAUUAGACUUGUUUGGAGAUGAGAUUGAGGACAGGUUACUAUUUUAAAUGAAGGACUAGUAUAUUAAGAUCCGUAAACCCUUCUUUUUCCUCCAAAAUAUUCUUAAUUUGCAUCACUGGUGCCGGUAAUGUCAAUGGAGGCCAGAAUGAACAAGUUUCAGGAGGGCCUUCAGCAGCAGCGGAAGUUGGUGGAGCAGCUCCGUCUAGAGGCUGCCGUCCCGCGGGUGCGCGUUUCGGAGUGCAUAGAGGAUAUCAUGAAAUAUUGCGAGCAGCACA